rnacentral:rRNA from 1 species
UACAGAGGGGGCAAGCGUUAUUCGGAAUUAUUGGGCGUAAAGGGCGCGUAGGCGGUUUUUUAAGUCGGAUGUGCAAUCCCCAGGCUCAACCUGGGAACUGCAUCCGAGACUGGAAGGCUAGAGUACUGGAGAGGGUGGUGGAAUUCCUCGUGUAGCGGUGAAAUGCGUAGAGAUGAGGAGGAACACCAGUGGCGAAGGCGGCUCACUGGUCCAUUACUGACGCUGAGGUGCGAAAGCGUGGGGAGCAAACAGG